rnacentral:antisense_RNA from 1 species
CUUGAUCGAGCCCAGCCACAGCGGCUCGGCGCGGUCCUGGCCGUAGGUGGCCAGCACCGCCUGCGCCUC